rnacentral:lncRNA from 1 species
CUCCUGUUUCCUUCCUCUUGCCUGUUCUGUUUCUUGCUUCUUCACAAGUGUCCACAAAAAACAGCUCCGUAGCUGGAUCCUAGAGAGGCUGGACUCUGCCAAGGUUUGCUAGUCUCCCCGACUCCCCCUGCUGGUGGGUUUAACUACAACCCAAACUCAAAAAAGCAGCUGUCCAAAAUAUUUUUCAAGUCAACUCCCAUGAUAAUAGAGUAAAUCAGAAAGGGAAGAGAAAAGAGAACACCGAAGGAGUUCAACUCAUGCUCUAGGCUGCCUUGCAUGGUGAUUGAUGUGAGCCGGUCAUGCACUGUGACAGACGGGAGCUGGAGGCUUAAUAUCCUUUCGGAAACUAGCCUUGGGAUCAGGAGCUUUGGUAUAAAGGGCGAUGAAGGAGAACUCGCCGAGGCCAGCCGAAGCCAGCCUGCUGAAUGCUGCUGUAAUUACACAGUAGCCUGGAGUAGCUCUUCUCAAAUCAAAUUAUGAGCCUGGAUUACCUAAAACUCUCAGGGCACCGUCCAGGUUUUCAUUUGUCUGGAGGUUGCUGUCAGCAAGCAGGUUUUUUUUUUUUCCUUCUCAUUAUUCUUUGCAAGGAUUAUCAAGGCCCCACUUCCGAGGCAGUAUCCCAGAGCUAGGAGACUCUGGGAAGAGGGCCGUUUUCUCACAAGGCUUGUCUCCCUGUGCACUUAUCGCUUACUUUUCAAAAGUAUAAAAGGAACAAAAUGAAAAGAAACUCUUUUUUUCCGUGUUUCAUACUUUUCUAUCAUUUGCAUAUCAAAGUUUAUGUCCAGCUGAGUUUACUCAUGAUUCUUUGGCAAAUAUUUAUGCUUUGUUAAUGUCUCAACCACCUAUACAGCAAUUAGAACAAGAGUCAACAGGCUCAACCAUAUUUGGAUCAUUGUUUGAACACCUGACUGUCCCCUGGGAAGUGUGCACUGCACUAGAAAUAAGAGGAAUAUGAAGAUCAUCUAGAGGUCACGGCUCCUGGAGUAGAGGCUCCCUACAGUGUGUGGCCCUGUGACACUCCUUUAAGCUCUCAUUUUCUCCAUGGACAGCCAAAGAUACGGAACUUCAUCAUUCUAAAGGCUUCCGUUCUUCUAGUCUCACCUGUGAACACAGCACCUAUGUAUUGUUUAAGCAAUUCUUGUGCCUUAUCGGAAAAAGUAGGAUUUUAACUUCCACAGCCAACAGGUAUGCAAAGGGAGAUAGCCAUCCAUUUCUUAAGUGGUUUAAAUUUUUAUUAAACCAAGACUUGGUGUUCUUGAGAUGCAA